rnacentral:rRNA from 1 species
GACGAACGCUGGCGGUGUGCUUAACACAUGCAAGUCGAACGAAGUGGCGAACGGGUGAGUAACGCGUAAUCAACCUGCCCUUCAGAGGGGGACAACAGUUGGAAACGACUGCUAAUACCGCAUACUGAAGGAGGGGAUUGCGUCGGAUUAGCUAGUUGGAGGGGUAACGGCCCACCAAGGCGAUGAUCAGUAGGCGGUCUGGGAGGAUGAACGGCCAAAUCUGGACUGAGACAAGGCCCCGACUCCUACGGGAGGCAGCAGUGGGGAAUCUUCCGAAAUUGACGAAAGUCUGACGGAGCAACGCCGGGUGAGUGGUGACGGCCUUCGGGUUGUAAAGCUCUGUUAAUCGGGACGCGGUACCGGAAUAGAAAGCCACGGCUAACUCCGUGCCAGCAGCCGCGGUAAUUC